CCUACGGGAGGCAGCAGUGAGGAAUAUUGGUCAAUGGACGAGAGUCUGAACCAGCCAAGUAGCGUGAGGGAUGACUGCCCUAUGGAUUGUAAACUUCUUUUGUAUGGGAAUAAAAUCGUCCACGGGUGGGCUGUUGUGUGUACCAGAUGAAUAAGCAUCGGCUAACUCCGUGCCAGCAGCCGCGGUAAUACGGAGGAUCCGAGCGUUAUCCGGAUUUAUUGGGUUUAAAGGGAGCGUAGGCGGAUGCUGAAGUCAGUUGUGAAAGUUGGGGGCUUAACCGCAAAACUGCAGUUGAAACUGGCAGUCUUGAGUACAGGAGAGGUGGGCGGAAUUCGUGGUGUAGCGGUGAAAUGCUUAGAUAUCACGAAGAACUCCGAUUGCGAAGGCAGCUUACUGGACUGCAACUGACACUGAGGCUCGAAAGCGUGGGUAUCAAACAGGAUUAGAUACCCGAGUAGUC
rnacentral:rRNA from 1 species